GCUGGAACAAGGGCAGCUGUCCAACGUUAAGGGAAAAAACCUGGAUGAGAUCAGUAUAGAUCCAGAAGAGAAAAUGUCUGUGGUCAGCAUAUCAGAGACUGACGAUGAAGUUGACUCAACUGAGAGGGAUACUGCAGUUUUAACUUCAUCUGCUAAAUCAUCAGGUCUGUCUGGGGUGACUAAGAAAAGCGCCACUGAAAAUGGACAAAAACAAAACAAAGAUCUGCCUUCAACCAAAGGUAGGAAUAUUCCUG